CAAUCUGAAACUGGAACUGCGAAUCUGAAACUGGAGCUGUCUGGCUUCUCGUUUCAUAUCUUCAGUUCAGUACCGCUACGUAGAUGAAAAUACCACCAAUCGAUUCAGCGAAAUAAUAUUUCCUGAUUCCUAAUGAUAAUUUUGGUCAAAGACAAGGGAAAGUACAUUUAUUAUGCCGAGGGGGGGGGGAUGAAGAUGUUAAGGGGGGACACUGAAAUAUUUUCUGGCAUUAAAGGGGGGGCUCUGAAAGUUCUUGAUAUACUGAAGGGGGGGGGCUCUAAACUUUUCAAAGUUUUGACCGCAGCAAAUUCAAGUUAAAAUUUUGACAUUUUCAGGUAAAAUUUGCGUAAUAAAGUAAUUAUUUUUGUGAAAUGAUAACCUUUUUUGUAAAAUACAGUCAAUUUACAUGCAAUUUUUUUGCGAAAUUUGCUUUCGAAAACGCCAGAAAUUCAGUCCUAGAGCUUCAAAAAUGUAAAAAUUUUCUGGGGGAGGACCCCCAGACCCCCCUUUUCACCCAAAACUUAGUAUGAGAGUGCCAAUCAAUCACAAAAAGCUUUAUUAUAAUUAUUACACAUAUAAUCCUCUAACAUCCCCACCCCAAACGUCGGAUGCUUUGCUACGUCCCUGAUGGUUGUAUUCGAAACCGAUUUCAGUUUUAAGAUAUCCUUAGUCUGCUGUUCUAAAUGGAUGCAUGAAAUCAUGUAUUAAUUAUAACACUAUUCUUGACAUUCACUUGUGCCCAGUCUCUUUGGCCGAGUUAUGUAUUGUCGACGUGAAUCGAGAUUUGUUCAAAAUUUGGAUGUCCGUCGGCAAACCGGGGGGCCACGGGGGGCGACACAUCAGGGAAACGCGAAUGCUAAUGAACGUGUCUUCACACAGUUCACAGUCGUGAAAGAUAUUAUUCGAUGUGUCAGGGAGUGAUCAUAAUUUUAAAGGUAUUACAAGUGCAGUUUAUAUGCCACAACUUUACUGGUAAUAUUCGUGGAAGUAUUCAUCAACGUGCGGUUUUGAGACUACGUCUACGGUUUAGACUUAUAUGCUACACUGAGUCAAGCAACCUUGCCCAGUGAGUUGUGUCAGUCAGUGUUCGAACAAGUGCAUUAAAAGUGAUUAUAUCUGUAAGUUUAGUUUAUAUAUUCAGUGUUUUAAAAUUUUAUAUUGAUGUAUUAAAUGAACCCGCGGUUUAUUAUUGAAGACGUUGCGAAUAUCGAGGGAAACAGGGUUCAUAUCUCUGCUAUGGCUAUGCCUAUGAAGACUACCAUGUCUAUGGCUAUCCACUUUAUGGUUACCUACUACAAGUCUCUGGCUACUAUGUAUUAUGAAAGUGUUUGAGAAUUUAAUUUUAAAUUGUUUCUUCAAAGUCGAGUAUUGUCAUUUAUAUAAAUAUACUAUGUCUAUAAUUUGUGUUCAAUAACAAUAUCUCUCCGAGCUCUCAACUCUAUGACUUUGCAAGGUUCAUUUAUAAUCUUCGAGUCAGUGCACGCUAUGAAGACAACAAUACCACCAUUCGAUUCAGUGAAACAAAAUCUCCUAAUUCCUAACGAUACAAAGCUAUUUAUGACCUUUGAGAGGUCAAG